AUGAAGUAUUCUGGCAUGGGGCUUUGGGUGUUCUGGAGCUUUGGACCUUGCAAAGACAGUCAAGAACAAUUUGGGCCAGGCCGCUUUGCUGACUCGCAGCCCAUCCAGAGUGAACUGGCAACACAGGGCUUCCCCCGCUGUUCUGCAGUGCACCCGCCUUGUGCCGUUCUGCAGCGCAAUGCACACACUGCCAGGUCCUAUUACUUGAUUAAUGCAUCACGUCCGAUAACACAACAUUUACUGAAUACAGAAGUUUUCCCAGACUUUCAUCUUGCCCUCCCAGUCCUACCCYGGAAGGAUAAAGAUGAUGUGUAAAGUGAAUAGAUUUAGUUUGGUUGAAAUUCAGAUCAAAUUUAAACCUGAGCUUUUAGGAGAAACUCACUUCAUUUUACUUAUGAAGAAACAAUGAAUUCUGCUGGAAAAGAAAGGAAACUCAUGUUAUGUUAAACUGUGACCUCAAGCUGUAGCAGAAAUGCUAAAGCUAUUUCAUUGUACCAAAUAUUUGAGUCUAUUUUUAAGAGUUCUAUAGGAUUGAUAAAUAAAAACACCCUUCUGUGCA
ensembl:lncRNA